UUCUUAUUAAGCAACAAAUAAAAUUAAAGUGCAUAAUAAAAAUAAUCAAUAGAGACAUGCAAUUACAAACAGCCUAUAGCAACUGUUUAGACAAAAGGACACAACAUACUGCGUCACUAAGACUGCAUUUGUGUGUUCAAAACCCAAAAAAUAAUUUACAAGACCUAAUUUUUCUUAAACUCCAUAGACUUCUUUUUUUGUAUAUCAACCAAGAAAUCAGACAUGAAUUAUCUCUUCACCUUCCUGCCUAUCUUUGAAACAAGUACAGAAUCUAAAAGGUGGAUAACAUCAAAUUGUGAAGAACAAUCAACUUCAGUUGGAGGAGCAACAACCUCAUUAGAUGCACUAAUGUCUUCAAUUGGUCCAUGGUGAAAAAAAAAAGAUUUAGUUUGUGCGUUAAGAUGCAAUCGAACAAUAUUAAAAGUUAAGAAUCACCUCGGUAAUGGUUGAGCGAUUGGUCAGCAUAAUAUUUGGUCAUUCACCUUCAUCAUCUUGACUUGGAUUUAGAACAGAAGAUACUGCUACUUGCGUUGGCAUUUGAGAACCAUUUUCUUUAAACUUAAAACGCCCUCUGGUAUUAUGCCCAAUCGUCUUGUAAAUUGAACAGCUUAUCACUAUGGUGUCCUUUUUAGAUGACCUUUGAUGCAGCUUUUAUUCAGCCCUUUUCUUAGCCCUCAUAUUUUUCAUGAAACCCAAAGAGGGAUGUGGUUGACAUGGUAAAAGCUAU
rnacentral:lncRNA from 1 species